rnacentral:rRNA from 1 species
AUUGAACGCUGGCGGCAUGCUUUACACAUGCAAGUCGAACGGUAACAGGCCGCAAGGUGCUGACGAGUGGCGAACGGGUGAGUAAUGCAUCGGAACGUGCCCAGUCGUGGGGGAUAACGUAGCGAAAGUUACGCUCAUACCGCAUAUUCGCUGAGGAGGAAAGCAGGGGACCUUCGGGCCUUGUGCUGAUGGAGCGGCCGAUAUCAGAUUAGCUAGUUGGUGAGGUAAAGGCUCACCAAGGCGACGAUCUGUAGCGGGUCUGAGAGGAUGAUCCGCCACACUGGGACUGAGACACGGCCCAGACUCCUACGGGAGGCAGCAGUGGGGAAUUUUGGACAAUGGGCGCAAGCCUGAUCCAGCCAUGCCGCGUGAGUGAAGAAGGCCUUCGGGUUGUAAAGCUCUUUCGGACGGGAAGAAAUUGGUGGGGCUAAUAUCCCCAUCGGAUGACGGUACCGUAAUAAGAAGCACCGGCUAACUACGUGCCAGCCGCCGCGGUAAUAC